rnacentral:rRNA from 1 species
GAUGAACGCUAGCGAUAGGCCUAACACAUGCAAGUCGAGGGGCAUCACAUGAAGUAGCAAUACGGAUGGUGGCGACCGGCGCACGGGUGAGUAACACGUAUGCAACCUGCCUUCAACAAGGGGAUAACCCGUUGAAAGACGGACUAAUACCCUAUAACACAGGGGUCCCGCAUGGGAAUAUUUGUUAAAGGACAACCGGUUGAAGAUGGGCAUGCGUUCCAUUAGCUAGUUGGCGGGGUAACGGCCCACCAAGGCAACGAUGGAUAGGGGAACUGAGAGGUUUAUCCCCCACACUGGUACUGAGACACGGACCAGACUCCUACGGGAGGCAGCAGUGAGGAAUAUUGGUCAAUGGACGCAAGUCUGAACCAGCCACGUCGCGUGAAGGAAGACGGCCCUACGGGUUGUAAACUUCUUUUGCAAGGGAAUAAAGUGGGCCACGUGUGGCCUUUUGCAAGUACCUUGCGAAUAGGAUCGGCUAACUCCGUGCCAGCAGCCGCGG